AUUGAACGCUGGCGGCAUGCUUUACACAUGCAAGUCGAACGGCAGCACGGAGAAGCUUGCUUCUCUGGUGGCGAGUGGCGAACGGGUGAGUAAUAUAUCGGAACGUGUCCAAUAAUGGGGGAUAACUAGUCGAAAGAUUAGCUAAUACCGCAUACGCCCUGAGGGGGAAAGUGGGGGAUCUUCGGACCUCACGUUAAUGGAGCGGCCGAUAUCUGAUUAGCUAGUUGGUAGGGUAAAAGCCUACCAAGGCGACGAUCAGUAGCUGGUCUGAGAGGAUGAUCAGCCACACUGGGACUGAGACACGGCCCAGACUCCUACGGGAGGCAGCAGUGGGGAAUUUUGGACAAUGGGCGCAAGCCUGAUCCAGCCAUGCCGCGUGAGUGAAGAAGGCCUUCGGGUUGUAAAGCUCUUUCGCAAGGAAAGAAAACUUACAUGUAAAUAAUGUGUGAGGUUGACGGUAC
rnacentral:rRNA from 1 species